GCCAGGUGCAGUGGCAUAUGCCUGUAAUCCCAGCAACUCAGAAGGCUGAGGCAGGAGGAUAGCAAGUUAAGGCCAGCCUCAGCAACUUAGCAAGACCCUGUCUCAG
rnacentral:sRNA from 1 species